UUAGAUACCCUAUUAUUUUAAAUUUAAAUUAAUAAGCUAAGUGAUUAAUAGUUAAGUUCUUUAAAGCUAAACAAUUUGGCGGUAUUUUAAACUAUUCAGAGGAACCUGUCCUAUAAUCGAUAUUCCACGAUUGGAUUUACUUAAAUUAUAAAUUUUUAUAUCAUCGUUUUUAAAUAUUUUAUAAGAAUUUAAUAUUUAUAAUUUCUUUAUAAGGAAAAAAAUCAGAUCAAGGUGAAGUUUAUAUUUAAGAAGAGAUGGGUUACAAUUAAUUUUAUUAAUGGAUUAUAAAUUUAAAAAUUUUUUUGAAAUUGGAUUUGAAAGUAAUUAAAUUUAC
rnacentral:rRNA from 1 species